GGUUUGCAGUGGGAAGUGGACGCGAGAUGAGAGUGCACGCCGUUUUCGACGAGUGUCAAGCUAUCCAUCGCUUCAUUAACGUGAACCAAAGGAUAGCCCAUAUGGAGCGUGACCGUCAAAAGAAGAGUUAGUUUGUGGACUUCCCCUCUAAGCCAGCGAUGUCAUAUUGCCUCCCAAAAGAAAGAAGCAAGGUAAACUACACAUGAGCCACAGAGGAAAGGAGAGCCCAUAUGGAGCGUGACCGUUAAAAGAAGAGUUAGUUUGUGGACUUCCCCUCGAAGCCAGCGAUGUCAUGUUGCCUCCCAAAAGAAAGAAGCAAGGUAAACUACGCAUGAGCCACAG